AUUGAACGCUGGCGGCAUGCUUUACACAUGCAAGUCGAACGGCAGCACGGGUGCUUGCACCUGGUGGCGAGUGGCGGACGGGUGAGUAAUACAUCGGAACGUAUCCAGAAGAGGGGGAUAACGCAUCGAAAGAUGUGCUAAUACCGCAUAUUCUCUGAGGAGGAAAGCAGGGGAUCGAAAGACCUUGCGCUUUGGGAGCGGCCGAUGUCUGAUUAGCUAGUUGGUGGGGUAAAGGCCUACCAAGGCGACGAUCAGUAGUUGGUCUGAGAGGACGACCAGCCACACUGGGACUGAGACACGGCCCAGACUCCUACGGGAGGCAGCAGUGGGGGAAUUUUGGUACGAAUAGGGCGGCAAGCCUGAUCCACGCAAUAGCCGGCCGUGAGUGAAGAAGGA
rnacentral:rRNA from 1 species